AAGCGGGGGAAAAAAAACCAACCGGGAUUGCCUUAGUAACGGCGAGUGAAGCGGCAAAAGCUCAAAUUUGAAAUCUGGUACCUUCGGUGCCCGAGUUGUAAUUUGGAGAGGGCAACUUUGGGGCCGUUCCUUGUCUAUGUUCCUUGGAACAGGACGUCAUAGAGGGUGAGAAUCCCGUGUGGCGAGGAGUGCGGUUCUUUGUAAAGUGCCUUCGAAGAGUCGAGUUGUUUGGGAAUGCAGCUCUAAGUGGGUGGUAAAUUCCAUCUAAAGCUAAAUAUUGGCGAGAGACCGAUAGCGAACAAGUACAGUGAUGGAAAGAUGAAAAGAACUUUGAAAAGAGAGUGAAAAAGUACGUGAAAUUGUUGAAAGGGAAGGGCAUUUGAUCAGACAUGGUGUUUUGUGCCCUCUGCUCCUUGUGGGUAGGGGAAUCUCGCAUUUCACUGGGCCAGCAUCAGUUUUGGUGGCAGGAUAAAUCCAUAGGAAUGUAGCUUGCCUCGGUAAGUAUUAUAGCCUGUGGGAAUACUGCCAGCUGGGACUGAGGACUGCGACGUAAGUCAAGGAUGCUGGCAUAAUGGUUAUAUGCCGCUCGUCUUGAA
rnacentral:rRNA from 1 species